rnacentral:lncRNA from 1 species
CACAGCCUAAGCUAUUUAACCCGAACAAACAGCUUCCCAAAAUUGGAAAGAGGAAUAAUUUUAACUGCUGCAAUUAUGGACAGCAGCCCACCACUAAUUCUAACCCCUCCUUUAUAAUAUUAUAGCCAUGACACAUUCUUUCAAGAAACCAUAAUCAACAAGCAUGGAUAUUGACACACUAUCAAGGCAAAAUUUUAAAAUAGGAGCCGCAUGGAACCUAAGACACAUAAAAUUAGUUCAUAAAAUCCGACAUUGAAUAAAUAGCAACACAAUAUUAAG